rnacentral:lncRNA from 1 species
UGACUGUCAGGCCACCUUAAGCCACAGUACGGAAGAAGCUGUGCUGCCUGUGAGCCCCGUCCAAGGACGUUAAAAGAAGAAGUCAGGCCCCAAAGCCACGGUUUGAGCAAACCGUGCUGCCUGUAGCUCCGUCGUGGGGACGUAAAAACCUGGGAGGCUGCAAACUGUGGAAGCUGUACGCACAGUGUAGCAGACUAGUGGUUAGAGGAGACCCCUCCCAUGACACAACGCAGCAGCGGGGCCCGAGCACUGAGGGAAGCUGUACCUCCUUGCAAAGGACUAGWGGUUAGAGGAGACCCCCCGCAAACAAAAACAGCAUAUUGACGCUGGGA